GAAGGAGUGCUUCGAGAGUGGUGUAGGGGCGGGUUUGUAACCCGCCCGACGCCGGGCAUUCGGCGCGCUUGCAGGUGGGACCGGACUGGAUUCCGGCCUCCGCCG
rnacentral:tRNA from 1 species